UACGUAGGUGGCGAGCGUUGUCCGGAAUUACUGGGUGUAAAGGGCGUGUCGGCGGGAAUGUAAGUCAGAUGUGAAAUACCAUGGCUCAACCGUGGGGGUGCAUCUGAAACUAUGUUUCUUGAGUGCUGGAGAGGAAAGCGGAAUUCCUAGUGUAGCGGUGAAAUGCGUAGAUAUUAGGAGGAACACCAGUGGCGAAGGCGGCUUUCUGGACAGUAACUGACGCUGAGGCGCGAAAGCGUGGGGAGCAAACAGG
rnacentral:rRNA from 1 species